rnacentral:rRNA from 1 species
CAGCAGCCGCGGUAAUACGGAGGGUGCGAGCGUUAAUCGGAAUUACUGGGCGUAAAGCGCAUGCAGGUGGUUUGUUAAGUCAGAUGUGAAAGCCCGGGGCUCAACCUCGGAAUUGCAUUUGAAACUGGCAGACUAGAGUACUGUAGAGGGGGGUAGAAUUUCAGGUGUAGCGGUGAAAUGCGUAGAGAUCUGAAGGAAUACCGGUGGCGAAGGCGGCCCCCUGGACAGAUACUGACACUCAGAUGCGAAAGCGUGGGGAGCAAACAGGAUUAGAUACCCUGGUAGUCCACGCCGUAAACGAUGUCUACUUGGAGGUUGUGGCCUUGAGCCGUGGCUUUCGGAGCUAACGCGUUAAGUAGACCGCCUGGGGAGUACGGUCGCAAGAUUAAAACUCAAAUGAAUUGACGGGGGCCCGCACAAGCGGU